rnacentral:tRNA from 1 species
GCGAAAGUGGCGGAAUUGGUAGACGCGCAGGAUUUAGGAUCCUGUGGCUUCAUGCCGUGGGGGUUCGAGUCCCCCCUUUCGCA